rnacentral:rRNA from 1 species
GACGAACGCUGGCGGCGUGCCUAAUACAUGCAAGUUGAGCGCUGAAGGUUGGUACUUGUUCCACCUGCAUUAGCAGCGAACGGGUGAGUAACGCGUGGGUAACCUGCCUUUAAGCGUGGGACAACUUUUGGAAACGAAUGCUAAUACCGCAUAAAAUCUUUAACCACAUGUUUUAAUUGUGAAAGAUGCAUUUGCUUCCCCUAAUAAUGAUCCCCCGUUGUAUUUACUAGUUGGUUAGGUAAAGGCCCUCCAAAGCGAUGAUACAUAGCCCGACUGAGGGGGUGAACCGCCACAAUGGGACUGAGACACGGCCCAAACUCCUACGGGAGGCAGCAGUAGGGAAACUUCGGCAAUGGACGAAAGUCUGACCGGGCAACGCCGCGUGAGUGAAGAAGGUUUUCGGAUCGUAAAACUCUGGUGGUAGGGAAGAACGUUAGUGGGAGUGGAAAGCUCAUCAAGUGACGGUAACUACUCAGAAAGGGACGGCUAACUACGUG